rnacentral:lncRNA from 1 species
UUGAGCCAUCUGUGAGAGCUUGAGAGCUUUGUAUCCUCUUGUUGGGAGGUUGGGCGGCAUUCAUGCCGAGGCACUGGUGCCAAUUUGGGUCUUAGAUCUAUGUUCUAGGACAGGGAAUGUGAGGGAUAAAUCAAUCCAUCUCAUUAGAUUAGGCUAGGAAGGGAUCCUUCCGAUCCUUUGCUCGAAUUUAUCUUUGCUUUAUGUUUCUUGUUUUGUUCUUGUAAUUGAUCUUUCCACUUGAGAUUGAAUCCAAAAGUUCCUUUGAUCUUCAUUGGUGAAAUCCUUGGAAGGCAUAUUGUUCAUCUUUUUGGUGUGAGCAUCGCAUCCCCCCAGGCGUUACCUAUAUUCGGCCAAGGAAGAAGUUCUAGCAAGGCAAAAAGCCUGCGAUCAGCGGAUUAGUUUGGUGGGGAGCCGUCGGCCGAGCGGAGGACCCCAUCAACUGGUGCUUUCAUUGAGAGUGUCUAACCCUCGUUGAGACAAGUCUUCUUCAAGGAGGUAACGUUCGGAACACAGAAAAUUUCAGAUCUGACGUCUACAGUUGGUUGGAAAAUUUCUGCAACAUAUACUUGCUGAUUACACCAGAUUUUCUGCAACGAUUUGAUUAUAUUGUGGCAGUAUUUUGAUUUUCCGCCAUCUAUAGAAAACUCCUGUUUAUUUGUGUUGAAUGUUAAAGGGAUUAGACAGCAACUUAGGCAGGGAAUAGUUGCUGAUUUUGGGAGUUGUUGCAGACAGAAUUUUCUGCGUUGGGUGUAAGUUGGUUAACCAACGUUGAGCAGGGAUGACUAUGUGAAAAAAAUAAGAGAGAGGGAGUACAGAAGAUCUCAUGGUGAGAGCCCUUGGUCAUAUGCCUUGUGGCGAGGCCCGGCAAGGCAUGACAGUGAGAGUGAUUCAGGAGAUGAGUGGAGAAAAAGGCUAAGAAAGAAAAGGAUAGAGGAAAGAAGAAGACUAAAGAGCAGGGAUUGGAGGUGGAGAGAUAAGAGAUCCUGUGACACCGAAUCGGAUGAAGAACCAAUCCAUGCUCAGAAGCCUUAUGGCCGAGGAGACUACAUGGAUGAAAAAUGGAAGAGGCCAAUUGCAAAUGGCUAUGGUAAGGAUGCCAUCAAGGGUCCACGGCUUCAAGAGAAGGAGCCAAGAAAUCUCAGCAAUGACUCCUUCAAAUGCAGCAGCAGGGACUCUAAAUCCUUGCAACAGAAGACGACUUCAACGGGUAAAGAAGUGGCUGAAAGCAGCAACAAAGAACAACCCAAAGAAGUCAGGAAAUUACCUCAGGAGAAGCUGCAAGGGUACAUAAAGAAUGGUCUCUGUUUUCAAUGCGGCAACAAGUGGAAGGGAAGCCAUUGUUGCAAACCUGAUCAAGAUGCUGCAAUUUCUGAUGGCAGCCACAAAGAGACCAAGCUACAUAUAGCCAAGCCGGGAGAUGCACACAGCGAAGGAGUCGCUGGCCCAACAUCAGCAGCAACCCAGCCACCAAGUGAUGCCAUAGCAGCCCCCAAGGAGGAGGCAACCAGGCACACCAAGGUUGCUGACCUGCCGGCUGUGACAGCAGAAAAUUCUGCAAUGGCAAAACCAGAAGAAAACCAGCAAAUUGACGGCAACUGCCAAGAUCCCAAUUCCGGGAGAUACAAACCCAUGUCCAGCACUCCCAAGGCCGGCAUCCAGCAACCCUGCACCAACCCAGCAGCCAAAUCCUUCACCUGGAACUCUGCCAACCACAGAAGCUUGGACCUAUGGCCUGGUUGCACCAGGCCAGCGCCCGGGCCACACGGCAUCUGCAUCCAGGAGCCCUACAGACCAGGCUGCAGCACCAAACUUCUACAAAGAAACUACAGCAACAGCCAAUGGAAUUAUGCACCAACGUUGGGCAGAAGGGAUGAUUAAUUGGAGGUUUGUUCUAGUACCCAUUAUUCCUACUUUCCACCAUAAAAUGUUUGGGUACCUCCACAAUCGCAAGGAUGACCACGAUGGCAUGGCACAUGGAUACUCCAACCUCAUCCUUGAGGGCAAGGAUGUUCUUCAAGGGAUGGGGAAUGAUGAGGUCCCAUCAAAUUUCCACGGCCAAAGGGGCCGAUCUGGCAUAGGACAUGAGACACUUGCAGCCAAAAAUGCCCACGCACAGGCCCUUCCCAGCUUCUGCGCGUGGACCCCUGCAGUAGCACACCGCAGCAGGCCAGCGCACGGUGCCCAUCCCAGCACCCGCGCGCUUGGCCCCGAUCAGCAGCAGCAGCGGAGCUCGGCAUGCAUGGCCACAACCAAGUGUGCGCUGAGCCCGCACAUUCUAGCCCAACACUCCACGCCCGUGCACGCCCGGUCCUCCGCGCCCAUGCGCAUAUGGCGUCCAGUGUCCGAGCGGGCGCAGCUUGCCCAGCAGCCAUCGGCCGGACAUGACCAACGGGCCACAUGCAUGCGCGACCCACAGACAGCGCCGCAGGGCCUUCGUGCAGUGCCAAGCACAGCGACUGCGCCGAAGGCCAGACCGCCCAUGCGCAGGAGUUCUUCAUGCCCAGCAGCCAGGACCCAAGACCUGGGAGCCCAGGACCCGCGUCCAGAGCUCCCGAGUCCCGCGUCCCGGCACCUAUCAGCCAGCCCGUGCGCAGGGCCUUGCCCAACGCCCUCGAGCGCGUCCAACAGCUCCGCGCGCGCAGCAGCACCGCACGCGCACCAGCAGGCCGCGCGCAGGCCCGCAGCAUUCAGCUUUGCCCGUCAUGCAGCGAGCGCACACCCAGCAUUCAGCCCGCGCACACCCANNNNNNNNNNNNNNNNNNNNNNNNNNNNNNNNNNNNNNNNNNNNNNNNNNNNNNNNNNNNNNNNNNNNNNNNNNNNNNNNNNNNNNNNNNNNNNNNNNNNNNNNNNNNNNNNNNNNNNNNNNNNNNNNNNNNNNNNNNNNNNNNNNNNNNNNNNNNNNNNNNNNNNNNNNNNNNNNNNNNNNNNNNNNNNNNNNNNNNNNNNNNNNNNNNNNNNNNNNNNNNNNNNNNNNNNNNNNNNNNNNCGGCGCGGGCCCGUGCGUGCCUAGCGCACACCCGCGUGCGCCCCGCGCGAACCCAAUGCAGCCACCACCAGAUAGCACCCAUCCAUGGACACCCACAUAAAGCCAGCCAGGAUCCGCAUCCUAGCCAACCAGGACGCGCAUCCCGAAUUCAGCGCUGCAACAUAAAGCCAGCCCGGAUGCGAGUCCGGGCCAACCGGGAUCCGCAUCCCAGCCACACGGGUCGCGUGUCCCGAAUCCGCACCAGCCAAGGAAGAGAGGACCUACCGCUUGGGUAGAUUUCUUCCUUCCUUGGAUCCUCUAUGCAGUCUAUUUAAAGGCCCUUAAGGCCGCAGGAGAAGGGGAUUUUUGUUUUUUUGAGCCAUUUGUGAGAGCUUGAGAGCUUUGUAUCCUCUUGUUGAGAGGUUGGGCGGCAUGCAUGCCGAGGCACUUGUGCCAAUUUGGGUCUUAGAUCUGUGUUCUAGGACAGGGAAUGUGAGGGAUAAAUCAAUCUGUCUCAUUAGAUUAGGCUAGGAAGGGAUCCUUCCAAUCCUUUGCUCGAAUUUAUCUUUGCUUUAUGUUUCUUGUUUUGUUCUUGUAAUUGAUCUUUCCACUUGAGAUUGAAUCCAAAAGUUCCUUUGAUCUUCAUUGGUGAAAUCCUUGGAAGGCAUAUUGUUCAUCUUUUUGGUGUGAGCAUCGCAUCCCCCCCAAGCGUUACCUAUAUUCGGCCAAGGAAGAAGUUCUAGCAAGGCAAAAAGCCUGCGAUCAGCGGAUUAGUUUGGUGAGGAGCCGUCGGCCGAGCGGAGGACCCCAUCAAUUGGUGGAAUCGAACUCAUCUGGGGUCGACCUCCGCUACAGUGGGGUCGGUCUUCUCAAGAACCACAGAACCUUGUAUUUUCGGCUGUUUUCACUGGGGUCGACUCAACCUUUCUUGGGGUCGACCCAUGCUACAGUGGGGUCAACUCAAGCUCCAUUGGGGUCGACCCUCUCAGGAAUUCCAGAGACAUGGUUUUGAGCACAUAUUCUUGGGGUCGGCUCAUGUUCAGUUGGGGUCGGCUCCAUGGGGUCGGCUCAAGGUUCUUUGGGGUCGGCUCCUCUCCUGGAGCGGCUCAAAGAUAUAUGGGGUCGGCUCCACUCAUUGUUCAUCUGUGCCAGGGGUGUGCCAGGGUCGACUCUACUUCCUCUGGGGUCGCCUCAAUUCACACUUUCCUGCAUCUUAAGGUUAGACUAAUUCAUAUAAUCAAUAAGACAUAUUUCAAGUAAUUUUGAGUGUAUACCCUUAAUAAUGAAAAUUACUAUUUUACCCUUAAAAGUAUAUUUCACUUGAAACUUUGCUGAAUUAGAUUUAAAGACUCUUUUUCAUAUUCUUAUCUCGUUGUUAAUCAUUGGGAGUCGUCUUGAUCUCAUUCUUUCAACGUAUCAAAGAAUGUGGUGUUAAUUAGUGGUGUAUCAAGUUAAGUCAUACUAUUAAUUUAAUAUUCCCUCAAUUGUUGUGUUAAUCAUCGAAAUAACACUAUCAUCCUCAAAAAUAAUACUAUACAUCGGGACUCCUGAACUUCUAUAACUCUUUACUUCUAAAAUCUCUCCUUAAGGACUUGAAAAGCAAUAAAGUUCUUUCGUUAGACCAAAUUUUAACUCUUAAUUGUGUUUGGCGCUCCAAUAUGCGGUGGAUAAGUUCCCAAAACAAUUUGUCGCUUACCAAUCACACAACCAAUCCCAUCAUUGAUUGAAUAGUAAUCUAGGGACAUCAUGUACCCAUUUUUGCACUCACUGUAUUUUCCUUCUUCACAACUCUUCUAUGAUUGUUCCAUCAGUUUUUUAUCACUCCACGCACAUUUUUGAUAUGGGUGAUACCAAGGUAUGCCGUACCAGUACCGUACUGGUUGCCUAGCAGAUCGGUGCAGACUAUUUUGGACCGGUACCAAACCAGCCAACAGCGCGCAGCGCGAGCGGGGCGCUGCCACAAUGCCACAACAGGCCAUGGCAUCCUACUACGGCAUUAAAUGCCACUCUGUGGCAUUAAAUGCCCCAGGACUCGGUACCGAUUCACACUG